UUUUACACCAAGCAUCUGAAGAAUUUCUAGCACCAGCCAAUGGAUAUCCAAGUGGAGAUGUAAUAAAUGCCAGGAUGGUGGGAAAAGCUUGUCAUACACUGUUGAGUUACAAACAUAUUAA